rnacentral:lncRNA from 1 species
CCGUGAAAGAUUGGGACGAUUCUCGGACACAGAAAGCGUGUCCUUAUCAAGAACUAUUCACUGGCAUAAUCAAUCUAUUAUCCUACAUAAACCUUGUAUCUCAAAAAGUCUCGUAGUACUGAAUCAAAGAAAGAAAGAGUGAAUCAUCCAUGCAAUAUAUUAAUCUUUCUUUCGCAAACAAAAACACAUUAAUCUUUCUGCUGCAUAUCGUAUACUUAUCAAAUAGUAUUCUAUGAGUUGCAGCAGGCGCAGGCAAUGCAAGAAUCGGCUGGCACUUGCCGCGAGGCCGCGAGGGUAGCUCAGGCUCUUGCAACAGCUGUCACAGUGGCCCGGCCUCAAGCACACUGCCGCACAGUGUCGGUAUGGAUUGAUGUUGCACGCCGCUUGAACGACGCUCACCCCCAUGUUCUCCUCUGCAAAUCACAGUCGUUUGUUAGUCAGUUGCGCGGGAUGAUAGGUAUCGUAACCCAAAAGAGGGCCAAAGACGACUUACGGGAGGCGGCGAGGAUGAUCAGCAGGAGAAUCAACGAGAUCGUCUUCAUCAUCCUUGUUUUGCCCAUCUUCGUAAUAUCCAUUCGAUUGGCGACUGCGAUGGAUAUGCGACAGAGCACGUGUGCUAGAUAUCU